GACGAGCCACCCGAACGUUAUUCGGAAUUACUGGGCUUAAAGGGUGCGUAGGCGGUGUAGCAAGUCGGGAGUGAAAUACCCCAGCUUAACUGAGGAAUUGCUUUCGAUACUGCUGCGCUUGAGUGAGACAGAGGUAAGCGGAACUUAGGGUGGAGCGGUGAAAUGCGUAGAUAUCCGGAGGAACACCGGUGGCGAAGGCGGCUUCCUGGACCGACACUGACGCUGAGGCGCGAAAGCUAGGGGAGCAAACGGG
rnacentral:rRNA from 1 species